rnacentral:rRNA from 1 species
CAGUCGCCGCGGUAAGACAGAGGAUGCAAGCGUUAUCCGGAAUGAUUGGGCGUAAAGCGUCUGUAGGUGGCUUUUCAAGUCCGCCGUCAAAUCCCAGGGCUCAACCCUGGACAGGCGGUAGAAAAUACCAAGCUGGAGUACGGUAGGGGUAGAGGGAAUUUCCGGUGGAGCGGUGAAAUGCGUUGAGAUCGGAAAGAACACCAACGGUGAAAGCACUCUGCUGGGCCGACACUGACACUGAGAGACGAAAGCUAGGGGAGCAAAUGGGAUUAGAUACCCCUGUAGUCCCUGUCUCUUAUAC